AGUGUGUGUGUGUGUGUGUGUGUGUGUGUGUGUGUGUGUGUGUGUGAGUGUGUGAGUGUGUGAGUGUGUGAGUGUGUGAGUGUGUGAGUGUGUGAGUGUGUGAUGAUAGCAUGACCUGCACUGACGUACAAAAAAAUUGCAACGUUGGGGAGAAGGACUUGGACAGCAUCUCGAAUCUCGCUCAUGAUUUUCACGAAGCCUCGAAGUACAAGGUUUUGUACUACUGAUCAGUUGUUUUUUAUAAUCCAAUGUUAAUGAAAACCCAUUCUUGUACAGGUAAUGGUACUCUAUUUACACAGCCUUAAGAUAGUCUGAUGAAUGUUGGGGGAUCUGCUGAUCAACCUGCAUAUGGUUCUUUUUUUUUUCUUUUUUUCAAGCUGUGCUAUCACACUAAGGUCAAGUGACUUUUGAGCAGUUUCUUCUUAAAAUAAGAUAUCCAACAAACUUCAAGAAUUGGAACACUGCCUGUAAAUGUGAAAAUGUUGUAAAUUGGAUUUAGUGUCCUGGAUCACGAAUAAAUAAGCAACAAUCAAAGUAAAAGAAACAGUUUAAGGUACUUUCUUUUGAGAGUUUAAAACUUUGCUAAUCUGCUUUGUCAGGACUGUUGUCCAUCCUGAUUCACACUUACCUUGUUCUAAAUAACUCACACCAACUUCAAACCUGUGAGGAGAGCACAAAGAAAAGAGAGAAACUGCAAUCCUACAUGUAACUGUUUGGCAGAUUAGUUUUGUGUUCAUGUAGGAGCCAUCCCUCACAGUAAGAAGUUGAUUGAGAAAAUAGGUUUUCAGGGCCUAUAAACCCCAAAUCAGUUGGACAUAAUCCAAAUCGAAGCCACUUUCACGGUUUUUGAGUACAUUUACAUGCACACAAUGAUCUAAUCUCCAGGAGUAGCUCAUCAUUUUAGGGCAAGAAAUAGUCUGGCACCUUCCCCGUGUUUCCAGUCUUUAUGCUAAGCUACGCUACCUGUCUACAAGCUGUAGCUUCAUAUUGAAGAGACAAACACGCAAAGUAACUCUCAGCAAUAAAGUGAAUAAGCGUAAUUCCCAAAAUGUCGACCAGGGGUACCGAAAGCUAUUUAGUAAUGCAUUAUCAUAAAGUUGGUGGACUUGCUGAAGACACCUCUGAAACGACACCCUUUCAGUGCGUAAUGCAGGCUUUCGGUCUCCAAGUGGAGAUCACCCUGAUGACCUCACUGUGACAUCAUCAGGGUUAUUGUUACAGAUUAAGCAAAGCUCCUCCAGAGCCACAGAAGACAUCACUGUUAUCACAGGUUCAGGUACUCCCUGUGAUGAGUGAACUCACCGGUGUGUAAAAUUGCCCUUUUAAGCUACAGUAGGUAACAUUCAUAUAAAAAAGACUCAAACUGACGGUACUAAAUGAAUCCGAUAAUUUGUGACAAAAAUCCCGCUCCUCUGCCUCCUCCUGGCGCUCCUAAUGGCAUACGGAUAACAACCAAUCGGAGCCGAGGAGUUUCUAACACAGCGUUGGUUGUUUAACCUUUGGAAACUUCCCCAAAUAUUGUCUCAUGUGCUGUUGUCAGUAUAUGACCAUUUCAGCAAAAAUAAAUAUUUAUUUUUUUUAAAUAAAAGUUACCUACUGAACUUUUAACAACGUUCCGCUUACCUUGAUUAUGGCUCAGUGUGUUCACACUACAAUUUCAAUAGUAAUACAAUUGCUUUAAUUUGGUUGAUAUCGGGUAUAUUGUGUGCAUUUAGAUAUACUUAAACUAUUUCUCUAUACAUUGUUUGUUCAAUUGUUUGAUGUUAUAUUGGUGUUUUGACUCUCUCACCACAAGAUGCUACUGGAAUGACAUGUCCUAGACUAGCUGACAACCACAUUUGAAAUGAUUGAGUCAGAUGUGAAUGCAUCUAAAGAUUGCUACCCCCCCAUUCAUGUCGUCUUUUUUUUUUAGUCCUGUGGUUUUGCAGAUGGAAAAAUUCUUACAUGCAUGAUGGCAAAGUGUCUCUGUCCACAUUGAUUGCAGUAUGUAUGUACAGUAUGUAUGUACAGUAAGUAUACUACACCUGUGUCUGCAUUACUUAAAUUGAUAAAUGUCUGUUGUAAAAGCUUUUAACCAAAUUUGCUUGUUUUGUAAUGCAAAUAAAUAUUUUCUUUGAAUGCAUAUUUAUCCCCCAUCUUUGCGCUUUAAUUGCUCUAAUUUUUAUAGCCACUUUUUGUAUAGAGAGAGGUUAACAUUUCUUGUUCCGUCUGUGUUUUUGUUGUCUUAUUUCCUUUGGAAGUAAUUCCAAUCUACUAUCCUGUGAUGUACAAUUGUUUCUUACCUUACCCCCUCCCCCCCACACACCCCUGGGUCUCAAAACAUCCAAGUAUCAAGUAAGGACACAGUUCCUAUUCUCUGCAGAAAGAGGAAUCCACCCUGCCAUUAAUAAGCUACUCCCUCUACGUCUUGGUGCCUUAUGCAAACUCUUUCUGUUUGUCUUCCAGCUACGGAUCACAGCAUUUUCAUCAGUUAUUUACCUGACCGAAGCAAUGGCGUAUGUAUUAUUUGUGUGUGUUGUGUUUUUCUUUAAAUCAGUGCUUCAUGUUGAGAGAAGUGUAUGACACACACACUUAUUCUAUAGGUUUUUCACACUUUCUUGGUUUUGGAUUCUACUGGUUGUCUUGCUGACCUAUGAAAUGCACUGACAUUGAAGGAAACCUGAUGUAGAAAAAUGGACAUGUUUGGAAAAUCAAAUAAAUUGCAUUAUCAGUCGUA